rnacentral:misc_RNA from 1 species
UGGUGAACCAGCGGAGGGAUCAUUACCGAGUUUACAACUCCCAAACCCCUGUGAACAUACCUUAAUGUUGUCUCGGCGGAUCAGCCCGCGCCCCGUAAAACGGGACGGCCCGCCAGAGGACCCAAACUCUAAUGUUUCUUAUUGUAACUUCUGAGUAAAACAAACAAAUAAAUCAAAACUUUCAACAACGGGUCUCUUGGUUCUGG